AUCCAGCGGGAGGCGGGGCCACGUGACCGCGCGUGACGUCAGGGCCGCGGUGGAGCCGGCCAAACUCAAGUUGGUUCAGGGAAUUGUCAACAAAGGGACGAGAGAAGCGCAACUCCUGACCGACUAAGAGCUAGCAUCCCCCCGGGCCCCGAGGGCUCUUCGGGCUGCCGGGAGACCCCUGCCCACGCUGGAGCCGGGCGCCGGGUCCCGGGAGGGCACACCCUUCAAGACUUCACUUCUACAGAAUUCUGCGGCAAAGAAGAGAAGAGGUUGUGAGCGGUGCACAUGGAGUUGCCGUGGCAAGGAAUGUCAGCGACGGCAUUAGGACUCACAGAUUGACUAUUAUCCAUCCCCAUUACACAAUUCCCCCAGCUAUACCACUAGCCCUAUGAAUAUGGACUUCCACGAUGCUCCGGGAUGGGGCUGCUGCUGGGCGGCCGGGGGCACUGACUUAUCCAGAGAGGUCUGGAAUCGCCAUGGGUUUUUUGUUUGUUUGUUUGUUUGUUUGUUUGUUUCCAGUUGUUCUCGGGGUUACUCCUGACCUUAAAACGCAUGUCUAGCGUUGAUUUCUGCUGCUGCACCACUUGUGACUCGCUGGCUCAUAUAAACAUCUUCCACGCUCACUAGAAAAGUCUUCUCACGAAACCGGCAGGAGCGACGAGCUGGCUGCCUGUCACCCAAGGCAAGAGGUUACAGUGGCAACUGCCCGAGCAGCCCAAAGAAAGGUGGGGCGGAAAAGAAAACACAAUUCAAAUUUACAAAUUUAGGAGUGCUUUUGCACAACUUGGAUUGCCAGGCGAUGGCCGCAGCGCGGGGCUCAGCGCGGACCAGUCUCCGGUGGACGGGUGGUGCCUGUGCGCUCGCGAGAACCCAGGCUCCAAGGCUGCUUUCGCUGAUCCUUUUGAGGUAGUCCGCAAAUGAACCUAAUUUCGAUUUCUGCGUUGGCCUGAGCUGGCUCAGGAGACUUUCUCCGCGUAGCUGCUGGCAGCCUCUUCCCCUCCGCUAAGGCCGGUUCUGGGCGGUCCAUUCCCGUGUGUCUCCUUGGAACCUCUCUAGGGAAGGGGGGUGGUGAACAACUCCCAGCUGCCGGUUCCAUUUGUUGCGCCUUUUUCCUUCGACACAAUAAAAGUCAAAUUAAUUGAUUCAUACCAUUAA